rnacentral:lncRNA from 1 species
GACCGGCCGCAUGAGCCCUAGAGCAGUGCCCUAAAGAUCAUGUAAGGCCUAUGAUUAACAAAAAUUCCAAUAAAUCCACAAUUAAUCUAGUAAUUCAAAUAGAGCAGUCCGACAUGUCUAAAUAAACAAAUUAGUUCAAUUACAAGAUCUUCAAAUGUUCAUCGACAUCAAAGAAGGACAAACAAACUAACUAGCUAAUGACUCUGAUACUUGCACUCUGCGCCCAUCCCAUCCAAAUCUAAGCAUCCUGCAACUCUGAUAAAAAGAAAGAAGAAAAGGGGAUGAGCUUUACAGCCCAGUAAGAAUUCCUAUACAUCCACACCAACACAAUAAUAAUAAAAAUAUGAAAACCACGACAAGUCAAAGCACAUAUCAUGGAGUCAUAAACCGGCUAUCAAAGCUCAAAUAAUCGAUACAAGUAUGUACAUCAAACAUCAAUAAAAGUCUAGCCACACAAGAAAUAUAUAGCAUAUGAUAGCUCAUAAACCUGUAUUAUAGUUUCAAUGUCUUUUCUUCAACUUGAUCCGGUUUAAUUAUCUUUCCGACUUUGGGUCAAAUCUCGGUCACAUUUCUCAGCCUGUGGUGGGGCAAC